AUUGAACGCUGGCGGCAGGCCUAACACAUGCAAGUCGAGCGAGCGGCGGACGGGUGCGUAAUUUAUGGGGACUGCCUGAUAGAGGGGGAUAACUACUGGAAACGGUGGCUAAUACCGCAUCCUGUCGGAUACCCCAUAUGGGAUUAGCUAGUAGGUAAGGUAAUGGCUCACCUAGGCGACGAUCCCUAGCUGGUCUGAGAGGAUGAUCAGCCACACGGGGACUGAGACACGGCCCAGACUCCUACGGAGGCAGCAGUGGGGAAUAUUGCACAAUGGGCGGAAGCCUGAUGCAGCCAUGCCGCGUGUAGGAAGAAGGCCCUAGGGUUGUAAAGUACUUUCAGUCGGGAGGCGUUACCGACAGAAGAAGCACCGGCUAACUCCGUGCCAGCAGCCGCGGUAAUAC
rnacentral:rRNA from 1 species